CACAAAGAGAAGACGGCUGUCUGCAAACUGGGAAGUGGAUUCCAGCAGACACCAGAUCUGCCGGGGUCUUGAUCUCGGACUGCCCAGCCUCUAGAUGGAAAUUAAGGUCCAGAGGGAGAAAAGUCACUUGCCUGAGGCUAUGCAAGGAGUGUGUGGCUGGGCUGGGAUGAAACCAAGCUGUCCAGCUGAAUCAAAAGAAGGCCAAGUUUGCUGGAAGGAUGGGACAGGGAAGUGAUCUGCGUUAUCCCACAUAGGGCUUCUUUAAGGCAAGUACCAUAUUUUUGUAAUCUU